UGGAGGACCGAACCGACUAAUGUUGAAAAAUUAGCGGAUGACCUGUGGCUGGGGGUGAAAGGCCAAUCAAACCGGGAGAUAGCUGGUUCUCCCCGAAAGCUAUUUAGGUAGCGCCUCGUGAAUUCAUCUCCGGGGGUAGAGCACUGUUUCGGCUAGGGGGCCAUCCCGGCUUACCAACCCGAUGCAAACUGCGAAUACCGGAGAAUGUUAUCACGGGAGACACACGGCGGGUGCUAACGUCCGUCGUGAAGAGGGAAACAACCCAGACCGCCAGCUAAGGUCCCAAAGUCAUGGUUAAGUGGGAAACGAUGUGGGAAGGCCCAGACAGCCAGGAUGUUGGCUUAGAAGCAGCCAUCAUUUAAAGAAAGCGUAAUAGCUCACUGGUCGAGUCGGCCUGCGCGGAAGAUGUAACGGGGCUAAACCAUGCACCGAAGCUGCGGCAGCGACACUGUGUGUUGUUGGGUAGGGGAGCGUUCUGUAAGCCUGUGAAGGUGUGUCGUGAGGCAUGCUGGAGGUAUCAGAAGUGCGAAUGCUGACAUAAGUAACGAUAAAGCGGGUGAAAAGCCCGCUCGCCGGAAGACCAAGGGUUCCUGUCCAACGUUAAUCGGGGCAGGGUGAGUCGACCCCUAAGGCGAGGCCGAAAGGCGUAGUCGAUGGGAAACGGGUUAAUAUUCCCGUACUUGGUGUUACUGCGAAGGGGGGACGGAGAAGGCUAUGUUGGCCGGG
rnacentral:rRNA from 1 species